CAGGUCUAUAGCACUGAUUGCUUCAUC
rnacentral:sRNA from 1 species